rnacentral:rRNA from 1 species
GAUGAACGCUGGCGGCGUGCCUAACACAUGCAAGUCGAACGAAGCACCUUACCUGAUUCUUCGGAUGAAAGUUUGGUGACUGGGUGGCGGACGGGUGAGUAACGCGUGGGUAACCUGCCCUGAACAGGGGGAUAACAGCUGGAAACGGCUGCUAAUACCUCAUAAGCGCACGAGGAGAGAUCUCCUUGGGUGAAAACCUCCGGUGGUACAGGAUGGGACCGCGUCUGAUUAGCUGGUUGGCAGGGGAACGGCCUACCAAGGCAACGUGCAGUAGCCGGGCGGAGAGGCAGGACCGCCACACUGGCACUGAGCACCGGUCCGAACUCCUACGGGAGGCAGCAGUGGGGAAUAUUGCAAAAUCGGGGAAACCAUGAAGCAGCAACGACCCGUAAGUGAAGAAGUAUUUCGAUAAGUAAAGCUCUAUUAACAGGGAAGGUCAUGACGGUACCUGACUAGGAAGCCCCGGCUAACUACGUG